GGGGCUUCGUAUGGACCAUCUGUAGAGGUCGGAUACUUGUGCAGCUGCAAGCGAUCAGAGAGAACUUUCAGAUCUAUAUUCUUGAUUAUGAAGUUCGACUAUCUAUACUCAGGUAUUGAGUUCGAAACCCUAGAAGUGGUAGAUUAGAUCUAUUACUAAAUAUUAUUUUUGAUUCACAUGCUUAUCAUUUUAUAUUCAAAUUUUUAUGUAUAUAAAUUCAUGUCAUCGAUCUAUU
rnacentral:lncRNA from 1 species